GUGGCAGUGAGUCAGCGGCUACUUCCCCUGCGGUGUGUGGUGUGCCGCGCCAAGAUCCUGAGACUGCGGCAGGCCCGGGACUCCCCCUUCCCGACUUCCGUGUCUCAGUACUCUAUGGCCGCCGUCGCCGCCUCCGCCAGGUGUAUGCCCACGUCAUCGUCACUCUACUCGUUCGGCUCCGGGUCGUCAGGGAUCUCAGGGUUGUCCAACGUGAGUAGCGCCAGCUCGAGCAGCGGAGGAUCCUACCGGAGUGUGGGGCGAGGCAAGCUGGGGCGGCCCAUAGCGGUGUACUCAACCAAGCGCCUCCCGCCGGGCAAGAAGGUAAGGUACACGGUGUCGAGCAAGAGUGGAGCACGCAGCAAGGAGCCGCUGAAGGGGGGACUACCACAAAUUAGAAUUGACGAGUACCAGGAGCCCCCGUGUCGGCCUCCACCCAUCUCCCGUCCGCCUCGGGUUCACAUUAGAGAGAAUAAGGUGGCCCCUCAGGAGACCCUGGGGAGACUACCCACCAUCAAGGAGUACACGGAGUUCAUCACCGAGAAGGAGCUGGAGAAGGAGAAAUCAUCCUCCACCAGAAUAAGGUGUGCCCAAAAAUUGGUGAGCCAGAUCGAGCACCAUCAUGGAGUGCCUCCACGGGUCCGAAGCCCCAAGGCCUCGUCUUCUUCGCCUUCCCCGUCUCCGGCCAGGUCCCCUACUGCCAUGGCCGCAGCCGCAGCAGCUACGGCUGUCGCGGCUGCUGCAGGAGGUAGUGGGGCCUCAAUGAAUAGCCUGCAUGCUCGGGCUCUGUCCAGGUCCCCGUCAACGUCGCCGUCAGGAGCGUCCAGCACCAGGAGUACCCCCGACAAGAAGAACCACAGCAGUAUGAGCCGGAGAGAAUCGUCCAGCUCUGCAGCCUCACUCAAAAGUAACCUCUCCGUGGCCAGCAGCGCCUCCGUCAGAAGUAGUUCCUCCGUGCACAGUAACUCCUCCUACAAGAGUGCCUCCUCCGUCAAGAGCAUCACUUCCGCCAAGAGUGGAGUCUCUGUCAAGAGCGGAAUGUCCACCAAAAGUUCAGCGUCGACGAGAAGCAGCACGUCCACUAAGAGCACCACGUCGGGCAAGAGCACAGGCACUGUCAAGUCGGUCAAGUCUGUCAAGUCGGUCAAGUCGACCAACUCAAAGAAGAAAGAACCAGAGAGUAAAGGAGUGAGAAGAAAGGAUAUUUGUGAUAAGAAAACAGAGACAAAUGACAAGAGAGUAAAGCAGACAAAGGGUGAGAGUAAGAUCAAGGCGUUGAAGAAAAGGUUUGAGGGCAAAGAAUAUCAAAGACUACAGUAAGUUAAGACUGCACAUAACGUGGUGGAGAGGUGUUGCUCUUUGCAAAACUCUGGUAUAAAUGCUGGUUAUGUUUACUGUCCGAAGAGUGAGUAAUGAUAGUGUUUCAUUCUACUGCCCGUCUUCCAGGGGCACCGACCGUGCACGUGCUGCCGUCUGGGCUCGUUCGUAUACAGUCAAACCCGCCAAAUUCGUCGGCAAUAAAGGCCACUCUUAGUGUAGGCAUUGCAAUACAUAUCUUUAUCGUUGGUGUGUUCGUUAGAAAUGCAUUAUAAGGAAAGUGGGUUCCCACUUGCACUCUUCUCCUCCUCUGCCAUGACCUCUGGUGGUGAGGUGGACAAGGUUCUCCCCCAGGAGUGGCUGACACUCACUCCCAGAGUAUCAUGGACAAUAACAGACACUUACGGUGACUGUUGCAAUAAUUCAGAUGGAUGAUUACGAGUUAAAACAACAUAUUUUUGCAACAAACUAUGGUGCAGUUACAUGAACAAGACGCUGGAGUAGUGUCGAGAAUCGUAAAGUUAGUGAAAUGGAUGAAGCGUAGCCCUGCAAGGGGUCACUGAAUAGUUCUUCCAUUUGUAUGGACUGGCCCGCACCAAUGGCCUUCAUGGUGAUACGGAACAUAGAGAGACCUACCGUCGUCCAGCCAGGCAAUACAGUAGCCUUGUAUAUGUAGAUAGGCUGAGAGUAAACUAGCUAGAUUCAUAUGUUAUUCGGAAGGAGACUUCACAAUGUUGUAAUGCUGGCUUUUGCCUCCUGAGAGUCAGCCCAUGAUGCCAUCAGCAGCCGGCCGCCUCCCUGCCAACCCCUGGCAGGACGUGACCGCCACUAGUACCAGCUCAACUCCACGGUACUUGCUGGAUCACAGUGUGUGACAACAGGCGGGUUUUGGCGGCAGGAGAAAGAGGCGUCCGCUGCCUCUGUCUACACGUAAACACACUGGUGACGGCGGCUGCUGCUCUUCUGUUUGCCGCCACAACCCGUCUUUGGCACCAUAAAGUGUUGCCAUCCAUGUGGCUACCAGAUACGCCAUGAGUUACAAAGUUACACUCCUUCCAUUAGAUGUAAGAUCAAGAUUUUCUGUAAUAGGACUUCCAGGUAAUGUUCUUUCUCGAGUUCUUCAUUAACUUAUGCUCUUGUUUACUAUUUCCAACAUGAAAACGAUUUAGCCUACAGCAUUUCUUCUAUCGUUUGGAUCCCUUAAGUUGCUUUUUUAUACCCAGUUGCAUACUUCAACAUUGUAAACUCAAGGAUGGAGGUAUUGCUAAAGUAUUACGUAAACUUAGUCAACAUUUUAGCCAUUCAGUCCAAGUUGCCAGACACCACCCGCGACACUAAUAGCCUCCUCUCGCCUCUACACUGGAACACCUUGCUCGGCCUCAAGACCUCUGGACACGCCCCUCGAGUAUCAGCAGCUCGGGUGGUGACUGGUACUUUGGGCUUUAGAGUGAAAUAUAUAGAUAAAAAUGUACAAGUAGAAGUACACUCCGACUGUCUCACGGCCGCCAUGGUUCCAAGGCUCCUGGUGGUUGGGGGAGACAAAAGAAGAGUCAGUAAUGGGUUGAGUGACAUAGAUAUCAGACGACAAGAGUCAUAACGUCCACCCAGGCAGCCUCAGGGAUUAAUGGCGGCUCACUGGAGGAGGUCGGAGGUAUUAGCUCAAAUACUUAGUACUUGUAAGUUUCACUCGUUUUUUAAAACUACGAUUUGAAUCAUCUUCAUCGAAACGCAUUUGUACCUUGGCCAAAUUGUAGUGAUUUUUCAAGAUAAACAUUUAUAUUUACUACCCUUGUCGCCGCGGGCAGCCCCAAUGUUAGUGUUCUUUGUUUACCAGGACCCACAGAGGACUUGGCUGUGUAGGACAGUCGUCACUGGCUGCCCCACGCCGCGCCCUUGAGGGAGACCUUGUGUACGAGUUGGCCUUCACCUUCUUGGUUGCUCGCCAUUGUCAAGGAAGGUUCUCACUAGUGGCUGUCUGGGACUUUCAGGGAAUCAUUUACAGUCCUGCACCAUGAGCUGUCAGGAUGAGGUAAUAAUGUGACCAGGAAAGGAAUAUUGAAAUAAUCUUUACUGUACAAUGAUAUACUUGUCAAAGAAAAUUGCUGCGGACAAUCACUAAAGUUUGAAAGGAUUCGUCAAUCACUUAUAACACCUGGACGGUCAUAUGUGUCCAGGUGGUUGACAUGAAAACAACGGGGAGGGGCGUUAGUAGUGAUGCUGUCACGUAGCAGCGAACGAUUUGCCGCGUCUUAAUAAUCCGGCUGUUAGUCACGCACCCUCGGCGUCACAGUACCCUCGGCGUCACGGUACCCUCAGGAAAUAGUCAGUCCCUCCUGAACAACGUCUAGUUAACUGCUGCUCCACCAUAGUAAACGUCAGUCACCCGCGGCCAGAUUUACUCCCCGACACCUGCCAGCAGCUCGGUGGCUGUCAGUACCUCUCUCAUCCUCUACUUAUAAUCAAACAGUCUCGGGACCUCGUUGUUGUGAAGAGCCUCAGCUGAUCCGGCCGCUGGUGUGUGUUGUAAGUCUCACAUAAGAAGAAACGUCCCGUGAGGAAGAGUUGUUUGUCCUCACGACUUCCACAAGACUUUAUGAAUUAAUUGUCAGGAUUACAAUAUUUCCUGUAAAAAAUAAUGAACUAUAAAAUAUAUUUUGGACUGACGACGUUGAACAUUUAUCUCAACUUUCAUUGUUAGUACAGUACAAUACAGUACAGUACAGUGCAGUACAGUACAGUACAGUACAGUACAGUACAUAAAUAUAUACCUGCAGUACUUUCUGGUUGUGUAAAAUGUCAUCACAUGUAAGACUGACGACCAUCGUACAUUAGUUGUGUCCGGGGCUCCACCUGUUGCUGUCCCGCGCCAUCACUGGGGUCACGUCCUUGUUACACCAGGCACUAGAGGUGCGUAAUCUUGCCAAGUGUGACCCGAGUAGAGAGACACUGUAAAUCAAUUUGUACUGGACUUUCUGGAGGGAGUCACUGAGAGCUAGCAUAUUCGAAUCCAAGCGUAGUUAAAAAUCUGGAGAGUCGGCUUGAGCGUUCACCUUCAGCCCAAGGGGUCGCCGAUGACUUUACACUCUGGUUCGACAGCUGUGUUUACCCUGCCAUCACCUGUCUUCUGUGGCCCAGACCUUGUUGAUCUGGUAAAGUUGUCUGUCAGUGUCUAGAGAUUGAUUGGCUCUCCAGACUAACAACAUUGGUUCAUCAACAAGGUUCUCAUCAUGUUGAAACUCAGAUUAAUCCCCUGUUUAGAGAAUCGGGUGGAACCGUCGGCUGGAAAAAAGGAUGAAAGACCUGCCUUCUGUAUACCGCUAACUCCAUGUUCUGUAUUUUGUCUUGAGAUAUUGGGCGAGUCUCAGAAGUUGGUGCCAGUCAUUAUUUAUUUAUUACACUGUGACUUACUCUAAGUUAUCUCAAACGAAACGUAAUCUAACCGAAUUCAAGUUAACUAAAUCAGCAGUGUUGAAAAAAAUCAGGGUUCGGAUCUAGGUUCAGUUCCGGAUUUGGUUCCGACUUUUUGGAUCGUGGAACUUUUUUGCCUUAGUUUGCUCUGUACUGUACACUCACCAACAAAAACCCUGUCGCCUCAUCUGCCUGUCCAUGAACCCAGAGAUUCAGAGACCUCGCAGUUCUCUGAAUCUCGUUUCAUGAAGAGGCAGGUAAGGCGAGAGAAUUUUUGUUAUCGAGUGUACCUGUCUCUCUUGACGUGACUGAAAAUGAUCUUACCACACAAGAAACUCAUUUUUUUUUUAAAGUGCAUCUCAAAGUAGCGUUUAGAUUGUGUCUCGAACAGCUGAACACUCCACCACUGAUCUCACCAAUGUUAAACAAAAUUCUUACAUCUUAGAUAUUCAUUUCUGGAGGUAUUUGGUGUUUCUGCUUACACGAGGAAGAACUACUGAAUUAUUUUACCUUUAUGAAUCUUGUUCUCGUUGUGUCUGGUGUAACAUGGACGGAGCUGCUACAUCACCCUUCUAUACCCACGACCUAGCCUUCAUAGGUGUCAGGGAUAACGUCACCAUUACCUUCCAAUACUUGUCUCUUGCUCCUCACAACUGGGAUAACUUUUUAACUGGUUUUCCUUCAAUCCUCGAGUCUGUUCACUAUUUUAUUCCUACCAAGUCAUCUGCUGUAUUAUUUAGGGAUUGUCCUGACUUUUGUCGUUAUCAUCGUCUAUCGUUGGUGGACACGUCAUUAUCGCUGUUGGGUGUGGUGGUGGUGGUGGUGGGAUAACUGACGUAAAAGUAUAUCUCGUGUUGGGGGAGUCAGACCUGUUCCUUGGGGCUGGUCCUGUGAGGUUACUUCUAUAUAUAUAUAAAGGUUUUUCUAUCGUUUUAAAUACUCCCGUGGUGAAUUUUCUUAAGUGGCCCUUGUAAGUUAUUAUAUAGAAUCUUGGAGUUAAAUUUUAGAUUCCACUCCCUGUCAGAUGUCUUUGCUACGCCCGUAAGAUGUGUGUGAGUUUGAUGCGCUUUUUGUUUUCUGUUGUCUCGGUUAUUGAUGCUUCUUUUGCUACGUGCGUUUUAUUUUGUUUUAUUUUGUUUUUUAAUGGAGAAGCCGAGCUGUUUGGACUUUACAAAAUAUCUAAGAGUAUUUUUUGGGGGUUAAUUCUGGUUUGUUUAUGGAGUGUGAGAGGCUGCCAGAAGAAGAGUGAUCGAAGAACUAGUUUACGGGACGUCUUUUCUUCAGCCAUUUGGUUCAGUUCCUAAUGAUAUGUUUCUGAGGUUGCAAGGUGAGCAUGCAUUAUGUUAACUGUUAUAACUUAGUAAUGCUUGGCUUCACUUAUAGGAGCAUUUAUGUUGCAACUUCUAUUUAUUUUUGGCUUCAUCAACUGCUUUCUUUGCUACGUCUGCAAAGGUAGUUUGUUAUUUGCUCUUGGCUUCUUCUUUCUUUCUUUCUUGUUAUUGCCUUUAUUAUUUAUGAUUUCUCUUUAUUUCUUCUAUCUAUGGGUGUGGCAUGGCUACUGUCCUGUGUGUGUGUGUGUCAUGUAGCGCCUCAAGUUGCGUACAGUUAAAUCUUGCAACUAAGGCCACAAACAGAGCCUUCAGGGUAGUGCAGUACCUCGUCAGGGUAGUGCAGUACCUCGUCAGGGUUCCUUCAGCCAGGUGAGUACACUGACUCUCUUUAAUAUCAACUCAGGUGUAAACUAUCUUGCUGAAAACCAAUAUUCAUGUUAUAACGCAUCUCUGUUAUGACCGUCUCCUACAGCCUUCGUUUCUUGGCCUGGGUAAAGACUUGUUUAUCGUCGUCUCUUACGGAAUAUUUCACCCAGUGGCUCUUGUCUCAGUCUUCCUGCGGGAUCUUUAAUUUCGUGUUAGGUUCGUCUUGUUAUGUUACCACACCUCCAUCUCUACUAAUAUGACAAUGAGGAUCACGGCCUUAUAAUAUAUAUACUGCUUUUCAUUCCUUCAUUAAAAUCUUGUCAACAACAUAGUUCUCUCACUUGUUGUGUGUCCGGCCUCGAGUACCUCCAGGUGACCGAGGUACUCUGUUUUAUGGCACAGUUGAUGCAUUGAUGGAGUUUGGUGGUGAUGGUUGUGUGAGGUGGAGGUGGUGGUGGUGGUGGUGGUGGUGAUGGUUGCAUGUGGUGGUGGUGGUGGUGUUGGUGGUAGUUGUGUGAUUUGGUUGUGUUGGUGGUAGUUGUGUUAGGUGGUGAGGCCCAGGUGAUGUUGUUAUGAAUAUCUGAACACUUUCCUGGGCCUCUCCUGACAACUCUGUACAGUACUGGGGACACACUGAGAGGCAUAAGUGCUAGGGACACACUGAGAGGCAUAAGUGCUAGGGACACACUGAGAGGCAUAAGUACUAGGGACACACUGAGAGGCAUAAGUACUAGGGAGUCAGUGAGAGGCAUAAGUACUAGGGAGUCAGUGAGAGGCAUAAGUACUAGGGACACACUGAGAGGCAUAAGUGCUAGAGACACGCUGAGAGGCAUAAGUACUAGGGAGUCACAGAGCCAUAACACCAGGUGGCCGUUCUCGAUGAUAUGGUCUACUCUACCCUGACAGCUACAGCUCCUCCUUGAUGAUCGUGUAUGGGACAAAUUCUCCAUCGUUGGCCCCAGGUCGUUCAGUCUUCGUUACCGCUUAAGUGUACCGACGUAGGAGAACUGCUGGACAGGGAACAUAUAAGACAUAAGGAGAGCGAUAGAGGCCUCAUGUGUCGUCAUCUUCUGGUCUCGUCAAGGGUGGCAGGAGGCAGGAUCUUUGCUUUCUCUUUCGAGGUUUUGUUGAAGGUUACUGAAGAUUUGCCACGAUGUUGAUGGCUCAUUUAGCAGUCCUUAGACAUUCUAGUUUCUUGUUGACUUCAGAAACACGUAUCUCAAAUUUAUUCAUCCAUGUACGUAUUUAGUUGGAUAUCCCGGGCCAGGCGAGGUGUAUCAUAAAACCCCAUUGGAGAAAACGUGGAGACAAUCACUGCCACGAACUGCAGCCCCGGCGCGUCUUCUGUAGUGAGUCCUCGGGAGAAUGAGAGGUCAGAAAAUAAAAAACCCGCCAGUCUCAGAAUCCCUAUUGGCGCUCCACGGUAUUAAAGUAUCAAUGUACCUCCUGAAGUAACUUAAUGGGCUCUCACCUGGACACGUCAACCAGGGUGUGACCUCUAGAACCAAGUGACCAUGAUGUAACGGAGGAUAAAAGAAUGACACAGUAAAGUAACAACCAGCGUAAUGUUGCAUUAAGGUCGUUCUGUAUACUAGAACAUUACGUGGAGAUAACCUUUAAAUGAACGUCUCCUGUCACAUUACUGAACGUCUCCAGUGUUUAUUGAUCGUUUCCAAUCACUCUACCGAACGUCCCCAGCCUCUAUCGAACGUCCCCAGUCUCUUUUGAACGUCUCCAGUCUCUUUUGAACGUCUCCAAUCACAUUAUUGAACGUCUCCAGUCACAUUAUUGAACGUCUCCAGUCUCUUUUGAACGUCUCCAAUCACAUUAUUGAACGUCUCCAGUCACAUUAUCGAACGUCUCCAGUCUCUUUUGAACGUCUCCAAUCACAUUAUUGAACGUCUCCAGUCUUUACCGAACGUCUCCAGUCACUCCAUAUCAAGUGUCGUUAUCAUCAUAUCCCACAGAAACUUAAAAAUACCUUCAGUCAACACAGGGCAUUAAUCACCUCCUCCCACCAGCCAGUUCCUUAGAGAGGGUCAUCGUGCCAGUGACCGACUACAACCACCAGACGCCACAGUCCACUAAUGAAGUCUUCCCUUGACUUACUUUCAGCUUUUCUUUUUUUUUAACAUUCAUUUCUUAAGCCAUUUUAACUUAAAUUUCAUGUACGAUGCAAAUACUAUAACGUCUCAUAGCUCCCACACCCUUAUGUCUUCCUAUGCCUACUACAUUAUCUGUCUAAUCCAUAUUUAUAUUUAAUAAAACUAUAAAAUAAUAUAAAUUACAACUCACUGUUUUUUUUUAAUACCGAGGACACGUUAACACCUUCCCCCCAGGACCCUUUAAUUACUUACCUUAAUCAGAAAAAAAGAAAGAAAAAAAAAAAAACAUCGAUAAAUUCUACGUUUCCACACCUUGCACGUUUAAGUUCACCUGUAAUUAGUAAUGGGUUUAAACAAAGAUGGUGGGUGUGUGACUAUGAAGGUUCUCAAGAUUAUCUAAAGGAAUGGUCCAGGUGUGUACUAAUGUUUACUUUACUAAUUAAUGGGUUAAACAUCUCACAGUUACCAAUCUAAUGAGGUAAAAUCACCUCUAACAAUCAUUCUAACAACAUCUACUCACCCUAACAAUCAUUCUAACAACAUCUACUCACUCUAACAAUCAUUCUAACAACAUCUACUCACCCUAACAACCAUUCUAACAACAUCUAAUCACCCUAACAACUAUUCUAACAAAAAACUCACCCUAAAAAUUAUGUCAACUCAACCAGACACAGAGAGAGAGAGAGAGAGAGAAUAUUAAACAGGUAAUUACACAAAAAAAUCGAUUCCUUUAUGUUCAUUAGCUGACACAGGUAAGAACUCUUAAUUAAUUGUCUCCUUUACGUCACUACCACGUGCUCAGGUGAUGACAACUAUUACCAUGAUAAGUAACAUGAAUGGUUUAAUUACGUCAGAGAAAAUACAGAAAAUUUCCGAUGACUUUCAGAUUUGUACCCCAGUUUAUUUCACCUGAUGACUCAACACCCUAACGCUAACCUAACCUAACCCUCUCCCAGGUAGCAUGAGAAUGUUUAAUUACUAUACAACAUCAGGUAAAAUAAGCUAGUGGUACCUAUAGUGUUCAUGUGUUCAAAUUAACCACGAACAACACAGCUCUCAUGGUACAAAGUUGUUCAUGAAAUAUAACACAGAAAGUUCAUUAUUAAAAGACACGAGAGGAAAAAAUAUAUAACCACAGAUGACCCUGAACUUUAAUUCUGUCAAUAUCCUGUCUGUCCACAUCCGGCCUGUCUACAUCCGGUCUGCCUGUAGUAUAAUAUUCACAAACAGACGGAUAUCCAACUAUAUAAUAAUUCUUUCUCACUUUGAAUUAAUGUCGAACAAUAAAUUCUAAUAAUUUUCUUACUUAAUUUGCUUAUUUUAUUUAUUUUGUCUUCUUUACUAUUUCUUCCUUUAUUAUGUCUUCCUUCUUUACAUAUUUAUUCCUAUUCUACAUAUAACCAUCUAUCGUAAGGAGUAAUGUUUUUUUUCAUAUAUGGUAACACUGAAAUAACUCACUCCAUGUGUAAUUGAAAGCUAUAAAAAAAAAGUCUCACCUGCAACUCAUUAAAGUCUACCUACC
rnacentral:misc_RNA from 1 species